rnacentral:lncRNA from 1 species
GACAAGGAGAGCUGCCCUGUCAUUUUUGGCUACGUGCAGGGCCAUGAGCAGAGCCUGCUGGUGUCCACAGAUGAAGGGAACGAGAACUCUAAGGCCAACCUGGAGGAGGUGGCAGAGGUGGUUCGCAUUGCCAAACAGCUGACCCUGGGCAGGACAGUGGACCCCAAGGACAUUGCCAUCCUCACGCCCUACAAUGCACAGGCCACAGAGAUCAGCAAGAGACUUGUGCGAGAGGGCAUCACGGGAGUAACAGUGUGCUCCAUCACCAAGAGCCAGGGGAGCGAGUGGCGCUAUGUGCUGGUGAGCACCGUCCGCACGCGCCCUGAGAGUGACGUGGACCAGCGGCCGACUAAAGGCUGGCUCAAGAAGUUCCUCGGCUUUGUGGUGGACCCCAACCAAGUGAACGUGGCCAUCACCCGGGCCCAGGAGGGCCUCUGCCUCAUCGGAGACCACCUCCUCCUGCGGUGCUGUCCUCUCUGGCGUCGACUCCUGGACUCCUGUGAGGCCCAGCAGAGCCUUGUGCCCGCUGGCCAGGUGCGGGUCCAGAGGAGGCCAGCCGUGUCUUUCUGAAGAGCCCUGCCCACCCACUGCCCCCAUGCUGCCAGGACUGUAAGGAAAAGUCUCAGGCCUUCCUGAGCCAGACACCUUGGUGGGCCCAACUCAGCAGAAUCCCAUGUGCCUUCAGUGGUCACUGCCAGCCACCAUCCGGCCACCUGGCUGCCUGGGCAGGGGUCUGGAGGCUGGCCGCAAUGGUGCACAAUAACCACAUUCCUGAGUCUUGUCUUCUCCCCAGGCGGGAGCAGGCCAGGCAGUGCCCGGCUGUCAUGUGCAUCAACCUGGGGGGCAGGUCCUGCCCUCCUUGCAGAGCUGAUUUGCUGGGACAUUUGGGGACAGGGAGCAUCUCGGGUGGUGGUGGGGUCCCUGAACCAGCACGACACCUUCGCUGGGAAGGCUUGGGGUCAGGAAGGAAAUCCCGUUGCUCUUUGAUCUUUGGACGCCAUCCCUGACCACACUGGUUUUGGCCAGGGAACUCAGCUUUAUUUUCUAUUUUUAAAUAAACCAAAAGCCAGUUUUUUUUUUUUACUGGAACAGGGUCCACAGCCCACACUCAGGGCAAGGAGGCCUCCCUGGGAGAGAGGUUUUUCUCUGUCACCACUGCCCCGUCUGCUUGGACCCACAGCCUGUGUUCUUGAGGGGCCACUGCCCGGCAGGGGGAGGGCAGACUCGAACCAGAUGGCCACACAGUCUCCCGGACCCGCCCCUCUGGACGUGCCAGGCCGUGCGGUGCUCCUGUGGGCGUGGGUGGGGCGGGAUCAGGUGCCUGGACAGGCACCCAUACUCCCACCCCGAGCUCUGUGUCACCCUGUUUACUCAGGCCUGCUCCCAGGUCAGGGCCUUCGGCACGGCCUGCCCAGUGCAUCUUUCUUUGUGAGAUUGACCUUUGCACACGCAUUUGGGUCCUGCCUGGAAAGCUGUGCCCUCCAUGGCUGGCCCACUCCUGCCCACCCUGAGGCUGCUCUGACUCUGGAAAACAGAGCUUGUGGCAUUGGGCAUGCUGCAAAGGAGCUGUUCACACCGGAGGGGCUCGCCCCACCUGUGGCCCCCCAGCAGACCCCUCU